rnacentral:rRNA from 1 species
CCAAUCGAACCCGGAGAUAGCUGGUUCUCCUCGAAAUAGCUUUAGGGCUAGCCUCAUGGAUCAUUGGUGGGGGUAGAGCACUGAAUGUGCGCGGGGGCCACAAAGCCUACCAAACGCUAUCAAACUACGAAUACCAUACAAUGCAGACCAUGGGAGUCAGUCCGCGAGAGAUAAGUUCCGCGGGCAAAAGGGGAACACCCCAGAUCAACCGCUAAGGUCCCCAAGUUCACGUUAAGUGGAGAAGGAUGUGGAAUUGCACAGACAACCAGGAUGUUGGCUCAGAAGCAGCCACACAUUUAAAGAGUGCGUAAUAGCUCACUGGUCGAGUGAUUGUGCGCCGAAGAUGUCCGGGGCUAAACGUGACACCGAAGCGAUGGGUGCAUCUGAAAGGAUGCGCGGUAGAGGAGCAAUGUGCAGAGGCAGAAGCCGUAUCGAGAGGCACGGUGGACACUGCACAAGAGAGAAUGCCGGUAUGAGUAGCGAGAGGCAUGCGAGAAACAUGCCCGUCGAAAGCCCAAGGUUUCCUGGGGAAGGUUCAUCCGCCCAGGGUAAGUCGGGGCCUAAGCCGAGGACGGAAGUCGUAGGCGAUGGACAGCAGGUGUAGAUUCCUGCACUACCGAUGGAAUGAAGCAGUGACACAGAAGGAUAACUCGAGCAGGGUGAUGGUCAACCCUGUGCAAGCAUCAAGGUUGGGUUGUAGUGAAGUACGCAAUCCUAUAAGCUGAGGUGUGAUGCGGACCGAAAUUUUAGUAGGGAAGCGAGUGAGUUCACGCUGGCGAGAAAAGCUGCUAGUACAUCCAAAGGUACCCGUACCGGAAACCGACGCAGGUGGGCGAGGAGAGAAUCCUGAGACGAACGGGAGAACCCUUGUUAAGGAACUCGGCAAAAUGACCCCGUAACUUCGGGAUAAGGGGUGCCUGCGAGAGCAGGCCGCAGAGAAUAGUCACAAGCGACUGUUUAGCAAAAACACAGGUAUCUGCGAAAGCGAGAGCUGACGUAUAGGUGCUGACACCUGCCCGGUGCUGGAAGGUUAAGGGAACAUGUUAGAGCAAUCGAAGCAUCGAACCGAAGCCCCAGUAAACGGCGGCCGUAACUAUAACGGUCCUAAGGUAGCGAAAUUCCUUGUCGGGUAAGUUCCGACCCGCACGAAUGGUGUAACGACUUGUGAGCUGUCUCAACAGGGGGCCCGGUGAAAUUGAAGUAUGGGUGAAGAUGCCCAUUACCCGCGACUGGACGGAAAGACCCCGUAGAGCUUUACUGCAGCCUGAUAUUGAGUUUCGGUAACUGAUGCACAGGAUAGGUGGGAGUCUGAGAGACAUGGGUUUCGGCUCGUGUGGAGACGCUGUUGGGAUACCACUCUUCGGUUACUGAAAUUCUAACAUAGCUCUGUGAAACCAGAGGAUGGACAGUGUCAGGUGGACAGUUUGACUGGGGCGGUCGCCUCCGAAAGAGUAACGGAGGCGCCCAAAGGUACCCUCAGAAUGGAUGGAAACCAUUCGAAGAGCGCAAAGGCAGAAGGGUGCCUGACUGCGAGAUUGACAAAUCGAGCAGAGACGAAAGUCGGGCUUAGUGAUCCGGCGGUAUUGAGUGGAAAAGCCGUCGCUUAACGGAUAAAAGCUACCUCGGGGAUAACAGGCUGAUCUCCCCCAAGAGUCCACAUCGACGGGGAGGUUUGGCACCUCGAUGUCGGCUCAUCGCAUCCUGGGGCUGUAUUCGGUCCCAAGGGUUUGGCUGUUCGCCAAUUAAAGCGGCACGCGAGCUGGGUUCAGAACGUCGUGAGACAGUUCGGUCCCUAUCCAUCGUGGGCGUAGGAGUCAUGAGAGGAGCUGUUCCUAGUACGAGAGGACCGGAAUGGACGCACCACUGGUGCAACUGUUGUCGUGCCAACGGCAUAGCAGGGAAGCGAAGUGCGGAUGGGAUAAACGCUGAAGGCAUCUAAGCGUGAAGCCCACCUCAAGAAUAAGACUCCACAAUAGACCCCUGGAGGACUACCAGGUAGAUAGGUCAUCGGUGGAAGCGCUGUAAGGCGUGUAGCUUGAUGAUACUAAUCGGUCGAAAGCUUCAUUUA